ensembl:lncRNA
GGGUGAGCUGCGUGUUUUCCAGGGCAUAUACAACUGUUAGGGUGUUCUACUGUAGGUGGUUGCUAUACAGUUGCUAGGGUGUUCUAUGUGGUUGCCAGUGUGUUGCUAAGCAGUUGCUAGGAAGUUGUUAGGGUGAUCUGCGUGUUUUCCAGGGCAUAUACAACUGUUAGGGUGUUCUACUGUAGGUGGUUGCUAUACAGUUGCUAGGGUGUUCUAUGUGGUUGCCAGCAUGUUGCUAAGCAGUUGUUAGGAAGUUGUUAGGGUGAUCUGCGUGUUUUCCAGGGCAUAUACAACUGUUAGGGUGUUCUACUGUAGGUGGUUGCUAUACAGUUGCUAGGGUGUUCUAUGUGGUUGCCAGCGUGUUACAAAGCAGUUGCUAGGAAGUUGUUAGGGUGAGCUGCGUGUUUUCCAGGGCAUAUACAACUGUUAGGGUGUUCUACUGUAGGUGGUUGCUAUACAGUUGCUAGGGUGUUCUAUGUGGUUGUCAGCGUGUUGCUAAGCAGUUGCUAGGAAGUUGUUAGGGUGAUCUGCAUGUUUCCCAGGGUGUUGUGAUACAGUUGCUUGUGUGUUAUAGAUGGUUGCUGUGCAGCUUUUAGGGUGUCUUUUAUCCAGAGCAAAUUACACCUAUUUGUAAG